rnacentral:tRNA from 1 species
GGGGUUGUAGCUCAGCGGUAGAGCACUUGCCUAGUUCAUGCAAGGCCCUGGGUUUGAUCCUCAGCACCACA